UACAGAGGUCUCAAGCGUUGUUCGGAUUCAUUGGGCGUAAAGGGCGCGUAGGCGGCGAGGUAAGUCUGGUGUGAAAUCUAGGAGCUCAACUCCUAAACUGCACUGGAUACUGCUUUGCUUGAGGACUGGAGAGGAGAUUGGAAUUCACGGUGCAGCAGUGAAAUGCGUAGAUAUCGUGAGGAAGACCAGUGGCGAAGGCGGCGAUCUGGCCCAACAUUGACACUGAGACCCGAAAGCGUGGGGAUCAAACAGG
rnacentral:rRNA from 1 species